rnacentral:rRNA from 1 species
CCUACGGGGGGCUGCAGUGGGGAAUAUUGGACAAUGGGGGGAACCCUGAUCCAGCCAUGCCGCGUGUGUGAAGAAGGCCCUCGGGUUGUAAAGCACUUUCAGUGAGGAAGAACGCCUGGUGGUUAAUACCCAUCAGGAAAGACAUCACUCACAGAAGAAGCACCGGCUAACUCCGUGCCAGCAGCCGCGGUAAUACGGAGGGUGCGAGCGUUAAUCGGAAUUACUGGGCGUAAAGCGCGCGUAGGUGGCUUGAUAAGCCGGUUGUGAAAGCCCCGGGCUCAACCUGGGAACGGCAUCCGGAACUGUCAAGCUAGAGUGCAGGAGAGGAAGGUAGAAUUCCCGGUGUAGCGGUGAAAUGCGUAGAGAUCGGGAGGAAUACCAGUGGCGAAGGCGGCCUUCUGGACUGACACUGACACUGAGGUGCGAAAGCGUGGGUAGCAAACAGGAUUAGAUACCCCGGGUAGUC